GCGAACCGCCCCGGAAAGGAAUGCCGACCUAUUCGUACUUCUACUCCAGAACCGUGGCCGGCGACGACGGGAACGUCAAGACCCACAAGUUCUCCAAGGGAAGUCCGGGACUGCUGGAACUGCCUCUGGACGUGUGGGAGACCCUCGGUCGAUACAAGCUCCUUUCCCGAGUUCUGAGAGGAGGGCUCUCCGGAUCGGGGGACGUACAUCACCCAGGCAACAUCGUCUUCAAGUUAGGGGAGAAAGGAUCCGGUAUAAGGCUAAGCGCUGCCGUUCAAGAUUUUAAUCAAUUGAGGCAACGAUGUCUAGAAACGGGAACUCUAUUCGAGGACCCAGAGUUCCUGGCACAAGAUUCGUCGCUUUACUACUCACGCAGACCUGACAGAUAUAUAGAUUGGAGACGUCCAAUGGAAAUCGCGGAUGACCCUCGACUCUUUGUCGAAGGAUUUUCAAGAUUCGACGUUCAACAGGGUGAACUUGGAGAUUGUUGGUUACUAGCUGCUGUCGCAAAUCUCACUAUGCAUCCUCAUUUGUUUUUUCAAAUAGUACCUGAAGAUCAAAGUUUUGAAGAAAACUAUGCAGGAAUAUUUCAUUUCAGGUUUUGGCAGUAUGGCAGGUGGGUCGACGUAGUAAUCGACGAUCGGUUACCGACGUAUAACGGUGAACUGAUGUAUCUACACUCCGCGGAGAGAAAUGAAUUUUGGAGUGCUUUACUUGAGAAAGCUUACGCGAAACUUCACGGCUCCUACGAGGCUCUCAAAGGUGGAACCACCUGCGAAGCAAUGGAGGAUUUUACAGGAGGAGUUACCGAAAUGUACGAGAUGGACGAAACACCUCCAAAUUUGUUUGGCAUUCUGCUUAAAGCAUACGAGAGGAACUCUUUGAUGGGUUGCUCGCUCGAGCCAGAUCCAAAUAUUUUGGAAGCUGAAACACCCCAAGGAUUGAUCAGGGGUCAUGCCUACAGUAUUACCCGCGUUAAGUACGUAGACAUUCAGACACCGAAUCAAAUUGGGAAAAUUCCUUUGCUACGACUGCGAAACCCUUGGGGCAACGAAGCCGAAUGGAACGGUCCAUGGAGCGAUCAAUCACCGGAGUGGAGAUUCAUUCCAGAUCAUGAGAAGGACGAGCUAGGUUUGACAUUCGACAUGGACGGCGAGUUUUGGAUGUCCUUCCAGGAUUUUAAACACUACUUUACUAGGUUGGAGAUCUGCAAUUUAAAUCCCGAUUCUUUGACGGAAGACGACCUCAAUGCUGGAAAAAAGAAAUGGGAAAUGAGUGUAUUCGAAGGAGAGUGGGUACGAGGUGUAACGGCUGGCGGUUGUCGAAACUUUUUAGAAACUUUUUGGCAUAAUCCACAGUACCGUGUCACAUUGGAAUAUCCAGAUGAAGGUGAUGACAAAUGUACAGUAAUCGUUGCAUUAAUGCAGAAAAAUAGGAGAGCUCAGAGAAGGAUGGGCGCCGACUGUCUUACCAUCGGUUUCGCCAUCUAUCAUUUGGAGUAUCCCGAUAGACUGCCAAAGCCUUUGGAUAUAAAUUUCUUUAAGUACAAUGCAUCUGUGGCUAGAUCACCGUCUUUUAUAAAUCUACGAGAAGUCAGUUGCCGGUUCAAGUUACCGCCUGGCGUAUACUGUAUCGUACCGAGCACUUUUGAUCCGAACGAGGAAGGCGAAUUCUUACUGAGGAUAUUCUCCGAGAACAAAAACAACAUGGAGGAAAAUGACGAGGAGGUGGGAAUUGGUGAAAUCGACGAUAGGGUAAAGGAACGACCCGAACCGGACCGAAACGAAGAAAAGGUACGUGACUUCUUCAGAAAGCUUGCAGGUGACGACAUGGAGGUCGACUGGAUGGAACUGAAGGAAAUUUUGGACUAUGCCAUGCGAAAAGAAACCCAUAACGAAGGAUUUAGCAAGGACAUAUGUCGUAGUAUGGUUGCCAUGCUGGAUGUCGAUCAUUCAGGGAAACUUGGCUUUGAGGAGUUCAAGACAUUGUGGGCUGAUAUUCGGAGUUGGAGGGCCGUAUUUCAAUUAUACGACAGGGAUGGCUCGGGUGUUUUGAGUGCAUUUGAAUUGAGGCAAGCCCUGAACAGUGCCGGCUACCGACUCAAUAAUCACAUACUUAAUAUUUUGGUACAUCGAUACGGGACCAAGGACGGAAUGAUCGCAUUCGAUGAUUUCAUCAUGUGCGCAGUCCGUCUCAAAACGAUGAUAGGUAACUACCUUCCUGAAAUCAUUGAAUAAAGGUGCACUUUGUCACUAAUAGUUACGAGAUAACUGGAAAGGUGACAUGAUGUUAUAUUUUCCGAGAAAGAGAUCCAGAUAGUACUAACUCUGCAACAUUUACAAUGGAGGAAUGGGUGGAAAAGACCCUAUAUUCAUAACGAGAUAGAUUUAUGAAUGUUAUUUAUACACUGGCGGUCAUUAAAUGGCUUCCUCGUGUACAUGGUGCAGCCUGGUGGUGGUAACGUAAACGUAACGUAAAACACGAGCUCGAGAACUUAUGUACUUGCGGUACAUGAUGUAUAAUAGACUGUAAAAUAAUUAAUGUAAUAAAGCAACUUAUAGAACGAU
rnacentral:misc_RNA from 1 species